GAUGAACGCUGGCGGCGUGCCUAAUACAUGCAAGUCGAGCGAACGGACGAGAAGCUUGCUUCUCUGAUGUUAGCGGCGGACGGGUGAGUAACACGUGGAUAACCUACCUAUAAGACUGGGAUAACUUCGGGAAACCGGAGCUAAUACCGGAUAAUAUUUUGAACCGCAUGGUUCAAAAGUGAAAGACGGUCUUGCUGCCACUUAUAGAUGGAUCCGCGCUGCAUUAGCUAGUUGGUAAGGUAACGGCUUACCAAGGCAACGAUGCAUAGCCGACCUGAGAGGGUGAUCGGCCACACUGGAACUUAGACACGGUCCAGACUCCUACGGGAGGCAGCAGUAGGGAAUCUUCCGCAAUGGUCGAAAGCCUGACGGAGCAACGCCGCGUGAGUGAUGAAGGUCUUCGGAUCGUAAAACUCUGUUAUUAGGGAAGAACAUAUGUGUAAGUAACUGUGCACAUCUUGACGGUACCUAAUCAGAAAGCCACGGCUAACUACGUG
rnacentral:rRNA from 1 species